UGGCGGCGAACGGCUCAGUAACACGUAGUCAACCUGCCCUCGGGAUGAGAACAAUCUCGGGAAACUGAGGCUAAUUCUCGAUAGGUCAAGAUUCCUGGAAUGGGUUUUGGCUUAAAGGGGAUAACAGCACCUUGUUAUUUCGCCCGAGGAUGGGACUGCGGCCGAUCAGGCUGUUGGUGGGGUAAAGGCUCACCAAACCAGUAACCGGUACGGGCUUUGAGAGAAGGAGCCCGGAGAUGGACACUGAGACAAGGGUCCAGGUCCUACGGGGCGCAGCAGGCGCGAAACCUUCGCAAUGUGCGAAAGCACGACGAGGUUAUUCCGAGUGAUUUCCGCUGAGGAAAUCUUUUCUCAGAUCUAAAAUGUCUGGGGAAUAAGGGGAGGGCAAGUCUGGUGUCAGCCGCCGCGGUAAUACCAGCUCCUCGAGUGGUCAGGGCGUUUAUUGGGCCUAAAGCAUCCGUAGCCGGCUCAGUUGGUCUCCUGUUAAAUCCAACGGCUUAACCGUUGGUCUGCAGGAGAUACCGCUGGGCUAGGAGGCGGGAGAGGCGGACGGUACUCCGAGGGUAGGGGUAAAAUCCUUUGAUCCCCGGAAGACCACCAG
rnacentral:rRNA from 1 species